rnacentral:rRNA from 1 species
GAUGAACGCUAGCGGCAGGCCUAACACAUGCAAGUCGAGGGGCAUCGCGGUGCAGCAAUGCACUGGCGGCGACCGGCGUACGGGUGCGUAACGCGUAUGCAACCUGCCCCGCACCGGGGGAUAGCCCGCCGAAAGGCGGAUUAAUACCCCAUGGUCCCGGGGGCCCGCAUGGGCAUCCGGGUAAAGCCUUGGCGGUGCGGGAUGGGCAUGCGUGCCAUUAGCUGGCUGGUGGGGUAACGGCCCACCAGGGCAACGAUGGCUAGGGGGUCUGAGAGGAUGGUCCCCCACACUGGUACUGAGACACGGACCAGACUCCUACGGGAGGCAGCAGUGAGGAAUAUUGGUCAAUGGGCGAAGCCUGAACCAGCCAUGCCGCGUGCGGGAUGAAGGCCCUACGGGUUGUAAACCGCUUUUCCCCGGGAAGAAUAACCCCGAUGAGUCGGGGAUGCCGGUACCGGGGAUAAGGAUCGGCUAACUCCGUG